CGAGAGCCGCGGCCGCGCAGACGGGGGCGGGAAGGGUGAGGGCUGUUACUCGGGGCGCGCGGGCCGUUGGGGCGGUGGCUUCUGCGGCCGCGAAGACUCCCGCGCCGUCCGGCGGGCAGCGCUGCCUCCCCGCGGCGGCGGCGCUUGGGCUCGGCUGCGCUGGGGACGGGGCGCUUCGGGCGGGAUGGGGCCCUGGGAGGGUCCUGCCCCGCUCGGAGCCGGGCUCGGGCUCCCGCCUUGGGGAAUCUGCCCCGCCGGAGGCUGUGAGCAGCGAGGGCGGGUGAGGCUGGGCUGGUUGAUCUGGGGCUUUUCUGAGAGGCUCAAGUCACCUACUACUGAGUGCUCAGUUCUUGCGCGCCUUGGUGCUACACUUGGACAGUUUCUGAAAGAGUGAAGAAGUUGGCCAGAGUGAAUAAAAGAAAAAAGGCUGUCAGUCAAGUAAAAAGUAUCCCCUUGAAAGACUUUUUAAGGGCUAAAUUGGGGCCUUCUUGCUAUUUAAUUUUCCCAAGUCUCUCUAUUGAGUCCUGUCUACGUGAGUACAGAUGACUAUUUACACUUUCAACAGACUUUAAAAGAACAGGUCAUGAAUUUCUAAAAGCCAUAUAAAAAAUUAUUUCCAUUGCCACUGAAAGACACAAAGCUAUAUUUAAAAGUAUUUCUAGAAUAGCUGUUGGUUAUUCUAGCUAGCUGUAGCUAGCUUUGUGCUCUUGACGUGCAUGGAUUAUUGCAGAGAUAACAAUAAUUGCCAUAAGAAUUACUGCAGUUUAUGCAGAAGUUAUUUCUCAGCUGGUCAUGGUAGAUAUUUACAGAUAAAACAAUAGAGCAAAUAAAUAAAUCAUAGAAAUAAUCCCAGCGUAGUUUCUACAGACAAAACUUGUGAAACUUUAUUAUUACUAUUAUUAUUAUUACUAAGAGAUGUGAAAAUACAGAAAAGGUUGUUGCUGAAAGAAAACUGAUGCUGUUUCUCAAAACUCACCUGUAGUUGAUACACUAUAGCCCUGAUUUACAUGUUCCCAAUAAUGUACUAGCCCCUCUUUAAAAUGGGCCCAAAGCCAGUUUCAGCAACAAGUUUAUAUACAUUCUUAUGUAUAUCAGACUUUUUGAUUUGAAAGGAUUACAAUGUGCAUCAGUAUAUAUCAUGUUUAAUUAAAUACAAUAUUCUAUUAUACUUCCUUA